AACAAAUACAUGGUUUUACGAUUGUACUUUAUUCCCACAGCAGCACAACCAGCAGACGGUGAAAACAAGUCAAAGGAACAGAGAAUGAGGUCCUCACUUGUUGUCUCGAGGUCAGCAGCUCCAUGUUUGUGUUGGCGAGGGUCUAUGAUCCCGAUCAAUGAACAGCAACCCCCCUCCAGCAUGCCACAUUUCACCUGUUGCCUCUCCCUGAUGUCACCAUCUUGUUUUUCACGUUCAGCAUUUAGCUAUUGACCUACAGUUACGCCCAAGAGGUAAAUACAUCGGUAGGUUUGACAUUCAAACCACUUUGAUGGAUUUUAAGAAAGAUGGUAAAAGGCGACAGUUUUAUUGGCUGCAACACCCUCGUCAGAUUUUGGGUUUCUGCCUUUGAGGCUGUCGAGUGGCGACGCACUGGGAAAGGAGGAGGAAAUAUAAGAAAUCAAGCAGCUUCUAAAUGCAGAUUAAUGUUCAUUCAGCUCCAACAACUAAUGACAAUUUAAAGUGCUUCAGAUAAGGCAUUUUUUUAAAUAUUCACAUGCCUUUUUUCAUUUGCAUAAAAGGUCGACGAAAACAUGAUGUAUUGUUUUUGCUUCAAACCAUAGUGCACGGUGUACUGGGGACGGUGCUCAACCCAGCGAUGAAUACUGUGACUUGCGUUGGAUGCGUAGCAAAUAUGAUACACUACGGCGUUUUGGAAAAGGGCACUAAAACAGUAGCUGACCAGUAUCUGUUUGGUUCAUCCAUUCCUAAUCUACAAAUAAAGAUUAUAGCAGUUUUAAAGUAAAGCUGAAAGCUGCAAAUAUGCCUGGUUUUUAUUUAUGGCUUUACUUCCCUGUAACACAUAGAAACAUCUUCACGGAGAAAUGAUGUGCAGCGACACAGAGUAAUAAUACCGAACAACGGGGCCCCAUUUCCUGUCGUACAAAGCAGCUGAAUAACUUAAGCCUGAAUUACAAUUGAUCUGAGCCGGUUGUGGUUCCGUCGUGGCCGCGGCCAGCAGAACCGAUCGGCUCGACGGCUGCACAUCGAUUUGGAGACGGAGAACGCGGCUCUGCUUUCCCUGGCACGGCUCUGCCUUUGGCCUGUGGGCAGACACGUCUCCCCCCCCUCUAUCUCUGCCCUCUCAAACACACACACACACACACACACACACACACACACACACACACUGGCAGUCAGAAGUGUCUGGAGACGCGCGUACAUGCAGACAAAGACACACAAACACAUACAGCUGGGCAACAAAUGAUUUCCUGUUUGGCAUUACUAAACCGUGAGGGGAAGGAGCUGAGAGGAGGUGAUUCUCUGGACAAUGCACACAAACAAUCCAUGUAUGGCCUCUCCUCUCUUAUACACACACACACACGUCAUUAUAUGGACAAACAUUCACCCCGUUGAAAAGUUUGCCAGAAAAAGCCUUUUCUGUUCAAAGGGCCCGUCCACCAUUUCAUCUCCACAUCUAUUAUUCUUCCCUCCGUCCUGUGGAUUCUCCCUCCUGUUCAUUCCGUCCGUUUUCAUUAAAAGAAAUGAGGAUUUUUUUGGCUCCGCAUGGGGGUGCGUCCACUUCGGCGCCAUGUUUAACGGCCCAACAGGUUGGAUACGCGUUUUAUUUGGUUCCUGGUGGAUUUAGAUUUAUUUGCUCAUCUGCAUCUCCAGCCUCCUGCUACUUCCAGGACGAUCUCGGGGGCCGGGAACUUUUUUUGUUUUUGCGGCAGCGGCGGACGGGUCGCUGUGCACCUGGAGAGCCAAAACACAAUCACACGUCCAAGCACUUUGACGCAGAACUGAAAGUGUGUGUGUAUGUAGGCACACUUAUUCUCCUCGUGGGGAGCGGGGACUGAUGUGUGUGUGUGUGUGUGUGUGUGUGUGUGUGUGUGUUCCCUCCCGAGUCUUGCGUCUCCUUGAGUUUUGUCAAGAGUUCCUGUGCAUGUGCGACUUCGUCAACUUGUGUGUCCGGAUGUGUAUGCGCGUGAGGCGUCCGUGUGUCACUCUCUCUCUCCGUCUCACUCCCUUCCAUGUAGGCUGCGUUAUUGGACGCAGUAGACCGGACAGGGCCAGAGGCGUACACCAAGCGGUCACGCGGCGUGACAGAGGAGCGAGCGGAGUCGCUGUCAGAAGGCCUUUUUAACACACUGCUGCUCUCCGUUCGGGGGGGGGGGACAUUUUCCCGCAGUUUGACUGCAAAAGGCGCGAGAUAAACGCAAUUCUCAGAAGCUCCCACAGAACCACCACUGAAGCCCCAGAGGCUUUCUACCUGAAAAUAACGCACUAAUACCUUUGAUGUUGCCAAAGAGAUGUGCCAGAGAGCGAGGCGAGGAGGGAAAUGGAGGGGGGGGGGCUGCUCAAACACACACACACACACACACACACACACACAGCUUCACCGGUCUAACAAGUCCAUGUUAGCUGAGGAUUCUUUACGGGGGUCAGCGAGAAGAAGAAGCAUCAAACCACAAGUUAUUUAACGGAGUUCGACUCACACCCAACGAACGAGGAGACGUUAUAUUAUGUGUGUUUUCUGAUUUAUUGGCAUUAGAAACAGGUGCCGUGUCCUUGCAUGACUAGCAGAUGUUCAAGAUUGUAAGAUAUUAAAUUAUCUCUCUUUGUUGCCUCCUCUCUAUUCAUCAAAUGGCAUUCUUCCUGUUGCUCUAUUUCCAUCUAAAAAUACACAGUAGCAAGUAGCCAUGAAAUUACAGAGUCUGUCUGUCUGUCUGUCUGUCUGUCUGUCUGUCUGUCUGU
ensembl:lncRNA